UGUAUAUAUAUACACAUACUUGUUUUUCAUGUUGGAGUUUGAAUCAUGAGAGGCUAUGUGGUGGUUUUGGAGUUAUGUCUUCCUUACACAACUAACAUUUUUCAAAAAUUAACAAAAAUAUAAUCGAUUCCACUAGUUAAACUACCCGGGGGCACAUAAUUAUUUACUUUGAAUCAGAGUUUUGAUGUGUAGAGGAGCUCAAUUUGAUUUUGAAUAUCUGUACCAAACGUCAGUUAAGCAAAAAAAAUUAAUCUUUAUUAAUGCAAUCAAGGAAAGAUACAUCAAUAAAGAUGAAGAUUGGGGAGGCGCAAAAAGCAACAAAGCAAAACAACUUAUCCCAACUAAAUUGGCACAAGAAGAAUCACACAAUCAUAUGCAACACCUCCGCAACCAACACAAUGACAGAAAAGAAAAACAGGGUUGGCAAGGCUCCACCAGAAAAUGCAACACUGAAAACGCCAGAAAAUUCUAUGAUGAUUGUUGAAGAGGAGAUUCAUAGAGGAUUGUUGUCUGCGAUAAUUGUUGUCUGUUGUUUUCUGUGGGCAGAGGAGAUUCAUAGAGGAUAUUUGUUUUCUCAUACUAUGCAUGCUGUUUGUUUCUGCUGUUUGUUUCUCUUAUUUGUUUGUGGAAUGGUGGAGUUACUGAUAGGUAUAAUGUUUUAUGGGUGAGUUAU